UUUCCUUUUUGUGAAUAAAUCUUUUCAAGCUGCAAUCAUAUCUAAUGUUGCUUUAAUUGUCAGCCAAUUCUUUUUUGGUUUCAACUGAUCCUGUGAGCAUCAGUUGUUUUCAUUUGAAUAUGAUAUUAGAAGUGUUAUAAUAUUUAGUUGUCCGUAAUUGCUCUCAUUCUGAUUCUCAUCAACAGUUUUUCCAUACCUUUUUUGAUACAAGUCUGG
rnacentral:misc_RNA from 1 species